rnacentral:rRNA from 1 species
UACGAGAGCCUCGAGCGUUAUCCGGAAUUAUUGGGCGUAAAGGGUGCGUAGGUUGUUCUGUUAGUCACUUGUCAAAGACCCGGGCUCAACCUGGGGACCGCGAGUGAAACGGCAGGACUUUGAAAGUGCAAGGGGUGUACGGAACUCAUGGUGUAGGGGUGAAAUCCGUUGAUAUCAUGGGGAACACCAAAAGCGAAGGCAGUACACUGGUGCAUAUUUGACACUGAAGCACGAAAGCGUGGGUAGCGAA